rnacentral:rRNA from 1 species
UACGUAGGGUGCAAGCGUUAAUCGGAAUUACUGGGCGUAAAGCGUGCGCAGGCGGUUGUGCAAGACAGAUGUGAAAUCCCCGGGCUUAACCUGGGAAUUGCAUUUGUGACUGCACGGCUAGAGUGUGGUCAGAGGGGGGUAGGAAUUCCACGUGUGAGCAGUGAAAUGCGUAGAUAUGUGGAGGAAUACCGAUGGCGAAGGCAGCCCCCUGGGAUAACACGUGACGCCUGCAU